CGCGAGUGAAAGGGGAAGAGCCCAGCGCUGAAUCUCUCGGUCUUAGGCCGCUGAGAACUGUAGCGUAUAGGUGUGACUGUCCUGCUAUAUUGCAUUUCCGAAGUCUCUUUGAUAGGGGCCAACAUCCAGAGAGGGUGCGAGACCUGUACGGAAAGUAGUAUAGUUGGUAUGGUUACUCCUUGGAGUCGGGUUGCUUGAAAGUGCAGCCUAAAGUUGGUGAUAAACUUCAUCUAAGGCUAAAUAUCGACGCGAAAUCGAUAGCAAACAAGUACCGUGAGGGAAAGUUGCAAAGAACUUUGAAGAGAGAGUUCAAGAGAACGUGAAAUCGCUGAAGUGGAACCGGAGAGAGUUAACAUAACUUGGUAGCUAUAUCCUCUAAAGUCGCUUAACUGUGGCUCUGGGGGGUGGACGCUACCUGUUGUUGCACUGACUGCGUUGAUUGUGCUUUCCGAACAGUAUAGUGUUGCCCACUUUGUGGUGUCUUGCUUUCUGGGAGGUUUGUCAUAAUUAACGUAAAGCCAAUUCCCUUUGGAGUCAGUGUGAAAGUUAACCACCUUUCCGACCCGUCUUGAAACACGGACCGAGGAGUGUAAUUUAUACGCGAGUCAAGGGGUGGUGAAAACCCUAGGGGCGGAAUGAAAGUAAAGGCCGGUUAACCGGUUGACAUGGGAUCCGCUCUUCGGAGCGGCGCACCAUGGCCCUGUCUUGUCUGCUUGCAGAUGGGCAGCGGUAGAGCGUAUAGUUUGCGACCCGAAAGAUGGUGAACUAUGCUUGAGCAGGACGAAGCCAGAGGAAACUCUGGUGGAAGUCCGUAUCGGUUCUGACGUGCAAAUCGAUCGAUAGACUUGGGUAUAGGGGCGAAAGACUAAUCGAACCGUCUAGUAGCUGGUUCCCUCCGAA
rnacentral:rRNA from 1 species